UCGAACUCGGAAAACUCAUACUCACUCACCAACCUUCACUCGUCAUCCACGUACUCGUCGCCACCCCACCUUACCGAGCUGAUUCAACAGCUCCAUACAUCACUUCUUUCUCUGCAACUUUCCCUUCCAUCAUCUUCCACCACCUUCCUCCGGUCACCCUCUCGCCCUCCCUCGCGCCUCGCCAUCACGAAACUCUCACUUUCGAAACCCUCCGUCUGAACAAUCCUAACGUCCACCAAACCCUUCUCUCCAUCUCCCAGAAUUUUA
rnacentral:lncRNA from 1 species